CUGAAAUCUACGGCUGUUCCUUUCACACUUGUGCCAAAGGCAAACAAACAUAAUUCUCCCUGGCAGCUGGACGACAUUCCAAACAGCCACCACAUUAAUUCACUCACCUCCAUCAGCCUCCGCCUGCAACCUGCACAGCUUGCUGCCAGGAAGCCUGGCAAUAAAUUCCAACUCUAAAUACCAAACAAGGUAGAAAAUACCAUACAAUGCAUUAUUCCAAAGGACAAAAUGGGCUUGCUCGAUAGAGAUACUGAGCAACGGCUCUUCCACUGCCUUUUGGAGUUCUCCUUAUUGCCCUUGUGGAGACUGGCAGCUGCCACAGAAAAUGGAGGUUUGCACUGACAGUUAAAUUCUGGAAUAUUUACUCAAAAUUUGAGUAAAUUUUGUUAUUACAAUCAAUAGCUAGAUGUUUGAUUAAAACUAAAAUUUUGUAUAUUGAUGAUGUGCAAACUAAUAUUAACAACUAAAGUGAUGACAAGGGAUCAAGCCUGGAAUUGCUGUGUAUUCAACUGCUUCUGGAGAAGGGUGUUGUGGACACUGUGCUGCAGCUCUGCAACAUCUCUUAGUGAAACUUUUUAUUUUCUCUCCAACAAACUAUAUAUGAAAAUGAUGCAGAUGGUUUCAAGGCAGGGGUUUGGAAAAUAUCUGAAAACAAAUUUCACAAAACCAAGAUUUACAAGUGCUUGCGUCUAGAUUUCUGAUAGGGUAGCCAGACAUCAGGGAAGAAUUUUUCUAACUUCUCAAAAAUAUUGGAGCUAUCAAGAUGUAUUGGGCACAGAAGAUAGUGUAUGUAAGGGCAGUUGGAUGACUGAAAAUAGAAACUCUUAAGAAUAACACAGACCAUUUUGGAAGAGAAUUCUGUAUCUGGAGAGCCAGAGGCACAGCAGACUGGCCAAACUAUAUCAAGGAUAUCCAGGAACCUGGUAAGCAGAUGUGAGGCAUGUGGGGAAAUGUGGUCCAAACAGCAAAAGACGCUAUGUAAAACUUCAGCUUCCCUAGCAGGCUUUGGAGCAUAGUAGGAAUGGACCUUCUGAACAAAUGCACCAAGAAGUUACAGUUUUGAGCUAGAAGAUAGUAAGUAUAUGUACAUCUCUUGUAAACGUGAAGUUAAACCACUGUCACAGCUGAGUGUAAAUUUAGCACAUAUUACUUCAUUUUUGAGCUGCAUCUUGUGAAUUGAACUGUUUCCCAACUGAGAGAUGGUAACUUAACCCAGGAGUGUGUUAGCUCGGGUGGUUACAAUGCCCUCAGCAGAGUGUGAGACCCUAUCUCUGCAAAAGGCAAAGAAAAAAUAUAGCCAGCCCUUCCUGAAUAAAGAAAUAUGUGUACAAAGAGCCUGAACA
rnacentral:lncRNA from 1 species